AGCGAACGCUGGCGGUAGGCUUAACACAUGCAAGUCGAACGGCAGCACAGUAAGAGCUUGCUCUUACGGGUGGCGAGUGGCGGACGGGUGAGGAAUACAUCGGAAUCUACUUUUUCGUGGGGGAUAACGUAGGGAAACUUACGCCAAUAUCUCAUACGACCUACGGGUGAAAGCAGGGGAUAUUCGGACCUUGCGCGAUUGAAUGAGCCGAUGUCGGAUUAGCUAGUUGGCGGGGUAAAGGCCCACCAAGGCGACGAUCCGUAGCUGGUCUGAGAGGAUGAUCAGCCACACUGGAACUGAGACACGGUCCAGACUCCUACGGGAGGCAGCAGUGGGGAAUAUUGGACAAUGGGCGCAAGCCUGAUCCAGCCAUACCGCGUGGGUGAAGAAGGCCUUCGGGUUGUAAAGCCCUUUUGUUGGGAAAGAAAAGCAGCAGGUUAAUACCCCGCUGUUCUGACGGUACCCAAAGAAUAAGCACCGGCUAACUUCGUG
rnacentral:rRNA from 1 species